UGUGUCAGUACAGGCCGCUCUAAGGCUAAACCGCGAAUGGCUCAUUAAAUCAGUUAUGGUUCAUUUGAUCUCAACCCCCUUACUUGGAUAACCCUGGUAAUUCUAGAGCUAAUACGUGAAGACUCAUACUCCGACUGGAAGGGAGGAGUGCUUUUAUUAUAUGAGAACCAACGGCGGGCCUCGGUCCGCCGGACGCCAAUUGCCGAUUCUGAAUAACUUUGUGCCGAGAGCACGGCCUGAGCGCCGGCUCCGUAUCUUUCNAGUUUCUGCCUUAUCAUGCUGUGGAUUGUAGGCCAUGCGCCUACUGUGGCUGUCACGGGUGACGGAGAAUCACGGUUCGAUUCCNGAGAGGGAGCCUGAGAAACGGCUACCACAUCCAAGGAAGGCAGCAGGCACGCAAAUUACCCAAUCCCGGCCCANGGAGGUAGUGACGAAAAAUAACAAUGCGGGACUCAUCCGAGUCUGCGUAAUUGGAAUGAGCACACUUUAANUCCUUUANCGACAACCGAUUGNAGGGCAAGUCUGGUGCCAGCAGCCGCGGUAAUUCCAGCUCCAAUAGCGUAUAUUAAAGCUGUUGCGGUUAAAAAGCUCGUAGUUGGAUAUCAGUGCGUGUCCGGUCCGGUAUGCCUGGCGCNGUCGCUCGCGCGUCAGUGCUGGGCUCCCAAAUAUCGGCUGGCCGCAUUCAAUCGUGCCGGAUCCGUCGACGGGCCGUUCUUCGGAGGGGCCUGUUGGCGACCGGCGACGUUACCUUGAACAAAUUAGAGUGCUCAAAGCAGGCUCUGAAUGCCUGUAUACAUAUUCAUGGAAUUGGAGAAUACGUCCCUGGCUCGAUUUGGUUGGUUUUGAGAGUCGAAGGGAAAUGAUUAAUAGGGACUGACGGAGGCAUUCGUAUUGCGACGCGAGGGGUGAAAUCCUGUGACCGUCGCACGACGAACUACUGCGAAAGCAUUUGCCGAGAAUGUUUUCAUUAGUCAAGAACGAAAGUUAGAGGUUCGAAGGCGAUCAGAUACCGCCCUAGUUCUAACCGUAAACGAUGUCGACCAGCAAUCCGCAACGGUCACUACACGGACUGUGCGGGCAGCUUCCCCGGGGAAACCAGAGUUUUUGGACUCCGGGGGAAGUAUGGUUGCAAAGCUGAAACUUAAAGGAAUUGACGGAAGGGCACCACCAGGAGUGGAGCNUGCGGCUUAAUUUGACUCAACACGGGAAACCUCACCAGGCCCGGACACCAGAAGGAUUGACAGAUUAAGAGCUCUUUCUCGAUUUGGUGGGUGGUGGUGCAUGGCCGUUCUUAGUUGGUGGAGUGAUUUGUCUGGUUAAUUCCGGUAACGAACGAGACUCUGGCCUGCUAACUAGUCGACGUGGGUCCGCUGUGCACGGGCCCCGUAUCGACCCUAUAUCUUCUUAGAGGGAUGAGCAGCGAGUCUAGCUGCAGGAGAUUGAGCAAUAACAGGUCUGUGAUGCCCUUAGAUGUCCUGGGCCGCACGCGCGCUACACUGGACUGGUCAGCGGGUCCGCCUUCUCCGAGAGGAGCGGGAAAUCGCUGCAAACCAGUCCGUGAUAGGGAUUGGGGCUUGCCAUUGUUUCCCAUGAACGAGGAAUUCCCAGUAAGCGCAAGUCAUCAGCUUGCGUUGAUUAAGUCCCUGCCCUUUGUACACACCGCCCGUCGCUACUACCGAUUGAAUGAUUUAGUGAGGCCUUCGGACUGGCGGUCCCGGAUUGGCUCCGGCCCUCGGGCCGGGCCGACCGCCACUCGCCGGAAAGAUGUCCAAA
rnacentral:rRNA from 1 species